CCUACGGGAGGCAGCAGUGGGGGAUAUUGCACAAUGGGGGGAACCCUGAUGCAGCGACGCCGCGUGGGUGAAGAAGGGCCUCGGCGCGUAAAGCCCUUUUAGCAGGGAAGAAAAUGACGGCACGUGAGGAAGGAGCCACGGCUAACUACGUGCCAGCAGCCGCGGUAAUACGUAGGGGGCAAGCGUUAUCCGGAUUUACUGGGUGUAUAGGGGGCGCAGGCGGGGAUGCAAGGCAGGUGUGAAAGUCCGGGGCCCAACCCCGGGAUUGCUCUUGACACUGGGGGGCUGGAGUGCAGGAGGGGCAGGCGGAAUUCGUGGUGUAGCGGUGAAAUGCGUAGAUAUCAGGAGGAACACCGAUGGCGAAGGCAGCCUGCUGGACUGCAACUGACGUUGAGGCUCGAAAGUGUGGGGAGCAAACAGGAUUAGAUACCCGGGUAGUC
rnacentral:rRNA from 1 species